rnacentral:ribozyme from 1 species
GCUGCUCGAAACUUUGCACACCUCUUCGUGGUGAGCGGCAGGUAACAUCAUUUGACGGCUAAGAUGUUGGU